AAAAGCCAAAAAAAAUCAAAAACUUAACUUUCUUGUCACAUACACAGGACCGAAGAAAACUCCAUUUGCUUUUAUUUUAGCAGCUACAAUUACGCUGUAUUGGACAUGAUUCUUUCUGUUGCAUUGUGAUUGCCGAGCCCUUUUCGAAAGUAUUUUGUUGCAUACUCGAUCCCGAUUGUAUAUUUUUAGAUGUGGUGGCAGUGGGUCACACACGUGCAAGGGUCAGAUCGAGAGUCUGCAGGUAGAAACACCAGAAACGCCUAAAAAGAAGAUAAAAGAGGAAUUAAUGAAACGGACCCUAAAAUGACCCAAAACGAAUGCAGUCGGGGUAAGGAAGGGAUAACUGCCAUCACUUGAAUGCCUUGAAGAGCAAUUGCCACUGAGAUGCCUUGAUGAUGUUGCAAGAUAAGGGACAUAGGAAAUCAACAAGCAAUCCAACGUGGGCGACGCCCCUGAAACUCAAACAGAAACGAGAAGCAAGUUUGUGCAUGUCAUUUCUAUAGAGUUUAGCAAGGGCAGUCACGUUCAAACCCAUACAAACUGUAGCUCUAUUCAAGCAUGCGUGGGUGCGACAUUUCCAGUACUCGGUAUACAAAUGGAAACCGUUAAAAAUACAAUUCAAAAUAAAAACAACUACAUUUUUAAGGAUUCCAAGCAAACACCCUACAAA